rnacentral:rRNA from 1 species
ACGUAGGGUGCGAGCGUUGUCCGGAAUUAUUGGGCGUAAAGAGCUCGUAGGCGGUGUGUCGCGUCGGCCGUGAAAACUUGCAGCUUAACUGUGGGCGUGCGGUCGAUACGGGCAUCACUGGAGUUCGGCAGGGGAGACUGGAAUUCCUGGUGUAGCGGUGAAAUGCGCAGAUAUCAGGAGGAACACCGGUGGCGAAGGCGGGUCUCUGGGCCGAUACUGACGCUGAGGAGCGAAAGCGUGGGGAGCGAACAGGA